GACCUCCGCCCAGUUGCCGCAACAUUCCUCUCUCCAACGGUUGAAAAUCCCAAUUUGUUCAAAAUCACUCCCAGCUAUCUUCGAGUAACGGGCAGAAGAAGAAGAAGAAGAAGAGGAAGAAGACCUGCAUUGCGUUGGGGGUUCCGAUUCUCGCUGAUUUCGACAGGUCCUCUCUCUCUCUCUCUGUACUUUGAUUGCAACGUCGAGCUUCGAACCCUAAGAAUUAGGGUUUGGCGAUUCGAUCCUUCACGAGAGAAUUCUGGUAAACGUUGCACACAUACACAGAUAGAGAGGGAUUUAGUGCAAAGAAGCACAAAACUCAAAGAUUCUGAAUUAAAUUACGAGAUUGAGUCGAUAAACUGCAGAACAGAGAGACCUACUAUAAGAGAAGACGAUCGUAGAUGGACAUCGUUGUGGAUUGGCUUUUGCGGAGGGAAUGCGAAUGUGCGAAACAUUACCAAUAGACGAAGAAGAAGCGAGGUCAGUUCUGGCGUUGACGCAGAGGGAAGAGAGAAUAGGCGGUUGAGAAGACGACGACAUCGCCAUUGCCAAGAGCUUGAACUUCGGAUUGGGAGCGCAGAACAAUUAAUUUAAACAGUAACAUGGGAGUAUAUAGACCUCCGCCCAGUUGCCGCUACAUUCCUCUCUCUAACGGUUGAAAAUCCCUAUUUGUUCAAAUUGACUCCCAGCUAUCUUCGAGUAACGGCAAGAAGAAGACCUCCAUUGCGUUGGGGUUCCGAUUCUCGCUGAUUUCGACAGGUCCUCUCUCUCUCUCUCUGUACUUUGAUUGAAACGUCGAGCUUCAAACUGUAAGAACUAGGGUUUGGCGAUUCGAUCCUUCACGAGAGAAUUCGCAUCCCAUUCGGAACAGAGGGAUGAACAGAAUGGGGAUCAGAAUGAUGACAUGGGCAGGGCAGACCUUCAUUGGCACUACCAUUCCCUCCGGUGCCCCCUCCACAGCCUCUUUGGCAUCAGGCUUUACAUCAUUCUAGUUGGUCAGUCUCGACAGAGCAUGCACCGCUCAGAUCUUCCAUGGGGUGGGGUGGGGAGGUGUGGCAUCAAUAGGUUGGUGGGGAGCAAGCCACGUUUGUUCUGCCGCUGUUGUCCCCUUUUCUUUUUUGCAGGUCUUCGUCAUCUAAACUAAGAGGGAAAGGACUCCAAGGCAGAAUUUGAAACACAGUCUGAAAAAUGCAUCACAGAGUAAACCUGUGCCUCGAUUGGUAGAUGCUGUUAGCGGAGGAGCCCUUUCAUAUCAGUCUCUGAACCUGCUGAAAUAUCUAAAGUUAAUUAUGUGAAUUCAGGUUAGGCAAGUGUGUGGGGGGAGGUGGGUGGGGACAUCAUGAUGGCAUAUCUACUAAUCACAUGCUUGGCCGUGGCACAUCAGCUGCAUAAACUGGAUGGCAUAUUUCAGAGGUAAGUGACUCUUCCUCAUCUAGUUUUAAUUCAAAUUCAAAUGAUAGCGAUGAUGAUGUUAGGAUUAAUCUUUCAAAUAUUUGUGAAAAACGUAUAGUUGAUGUAGAAAGAGCUUCAAAGAAAAUCGGAACGUUAAAAAGAAAAAAUCUUCUCUUAAGGAUCAAACAAAAAAUCUAGAAUUUGAAAAUGCAGCUCUUAUUGAACAAAAUGAAAAUUUUCAAUCUCAAAAUUCAACCCUUGCUAAUCGAAACAAAUUGCUUGGAAAUGAGUUAAAAGAUUCUGAGUUAGAUUUAUCAAAAUUUUUUGCAGGUAGCAAAAUACUAGAUAAUAUCUUAGAAUUUCAAGGAGGAGAUACUAUGAUAGAACUGGUUUGAGUUAUGUUGAGAAAGACCAUAAGAAUUUUGGAAAACUAUCAAAACCUAAAUCCAAACUAAAAUUUGAUUCUAAAUGUAAAUUCUGUUAGUGUCAUGGUCAUAGAGAAUUAUUUUGUCUAAAGAAGAUGAAUAUUUAGAAUAAAGAAGGUAUGGGUUCCCAAGGAUGAGCUCUAGGAAGCUUCAAAAAUGAUUUGGGUAGUUAAGAAUAACUCUUUGGUAGAAAAAUAGGUUAGAAAAUUCAAGGACUCAAAUGAUUGGGUACUUUAUCUUAGAUAGGUUUUAUAUGCAGUCCAUGGGACUUAAAACAAUUCAGCUUUGGGAGAAAAUGAUGUAUCUCCCCAGGUAAUAUAUUCUAAUCUCAUAUCUCUUUAAAUUUAAAUGUCUUUGUUGAUAUGGUUUUCAACCUUGACUGUUUGCCUUGAUUACGUAUGUGAUUAAAUAUUGAUUAUUUUUGUUUGCUGAUUAUUAAAGCCUUGAAGAUGAAAUCGUUUUUUGCUCAUCAAUAUGAAUUGUUUUGGAUAUGACCUUAUGGUGUUAAUUGAGGUACGUUUGUACUUGUGAAAAUACAUGCUAAAUUAUAUUCUAGUAUCUUAAAUGAAUUUGCUCAUUGAGUGCUAUGUCCUAAUGUUUUGAUGACGAAUUUUGCUAUGAGUGUAUGAUUCAUAAAAUUUUUGAAUUAUCUUCUUCUUCUUCUAUGAUUGAUGUUUUGGAAUCCAAUGAAGUUAUGGUCAUUGUUUUGGAUGAUCUUUGCAUUAUUAUGAAAAUGAUUGUUUGUUGACUAAGGUAUUUCUAUACAUAAGUGUAUUCAUAUUUGAUUGAAUGUUCAUGAUUUGCAUUUAGAUAAUUAAGUGGAAAGUCUUGAUGUUUUGAUGAGGUGGUGGUAGUCAAAUGAUCGGUUUGCCUACGAUUAUAUUAGGUUGGAGGUAAUAUUAUUCACUGCUUUAAAAAUCUUUGGGAGUGACUAUGUUUGGUGUGCUCAUGAGUGGCACAAUUCUAUAUAUUCAGUUUAUGUGAUUGAAAUUAUAAAUGCUUUAAGUGAUAGGUUGAUUGAGCUCUUUUGAGUAAUGAUAGGAUCGAUCAAGUUAUUAAAUCUGGUUUAGGAUUAGUUGAAAAUGUUUGGGAAAUUUGAUACCUGCUUGAAUAUGUUUCUUGAUUGAUUUGGGUACACAUAAAGUGUACAAACAUUAUAUAAGAUAUGUCUUUGGUGUAUGUGCAUUUCUUGAAUUUAAAAAUUACAUUAUAGAAUUCUGUAUUUUGAUUUUACUACUUAAGAUUCAUAUGCUCACGAGUAGCAUAGUUCUAAUGUGUUGAAACUCAGUGGUAGUUUGGUUUAUGAUCACUAGAAUAGUGAAUGAAAGUUAAUCAAGUGUCCAAUCCUUAUUAGGAUCUUCUCUUAGGAUUAUUUACUUGUUGUAAUUAUGUCUCUUAAAAUAAAAUGGAUGCAUUUAGGAGUUAUUGAAUAUGCAUUUUGAUAAUAUGAUUGAAUGGUUGAAAAUUGCUUGUCCCGACAAUAUAUGUUCUUGUGAAUGGAUUUAUUAUUCGUGUAUUUGAGAAUAAAGCAGUUGUUUCUUGUGCAAUAAUAUUUUUUGAUAAGUUCUUGAAUGAAUUUUAUUUUAGAUUUUAUUUAAAAUCCAUGGAAUGAGGAAAAUCUCCUAGGAGUCAAUAUAUUGUUCAUGGAUUGAAGUCUUGAAAUGUGGUUUUCAAGUUCAUUCAUACAGUGCUGCAUAUUUCUAGCAAGUAUCAUAAGAUACUCGUUUAAUCUGUGAUGUUAAUCGAGUAAGUGUGUAUAGAUAUAGGUCUCUAUAGAAUAUUAGUCCAAAAUGGGGAAGUGUUACUCGAGUUGCUAAGAUAUAAUAGAUAUUUUUAAAAGAAGCUCGAGCUUGUCACUCGAGUGUCGAAGGACUAGAAUCCUAGUGCUUAAAAAUACUUUAGUUUUUUAUAUAUUAGAUCAAAUUCUCUUCAGCGUGAUUUAUGAUUUUGAAUUAUUUGCUUUUGUUGAUUAAUGUUUGCCUAAAUUGUCAAGAUGACAUGCUUGUAUGUGGUUAGAUGCAAAGACUGAUUAGUAGUUUUGAUUCAUUCUAAUGUGAAUGCUAAAUUCUAUUAAGUCUUGAGUGUUAAAAGAAUUUGUGACUUAUUUGUAGGGGAAGCGUAUCAUUUAUUAAAAUCUAUCUAAGGUUUGAUUUCUUAAGAAGAUAGUUAAAUCUUCUGUUUGAUCAACUUGCUGUUAAAUAUAUAUAUUCUUGCAAUAUUUGUUGGUACUUAGUCUUAGAAUGAAUAUUUCAAAAAGGGGAGAGAAUUCCUUAUUAUUUCUAUUGCCUCCUUAUGAUUGUCAAAUAGUAUUUUCCUUCUCGACAAGGAUACUAGGUCCUUAUAUCUUCUGAAGAAUAAAAUUAUAUUUCACUCUUUUAUAAAAGGGGGAGAAUCUUUUCAGGAAGAUUGACAUUUUCAGGGGGAGCCUCUCUAGUUUUAAAAGUAUGCUCAAAACUUUUUUUUUUUUUAUCUUAAGGAUUCAUUGAGCAUUUGGCAAUAAACUCAGGGGAGGUUUUGUCUCUUGAUAACUUAUUCCUCGAAAGAAUGAAAAUUUCUGAAAGGGGGAGAAGGUUAUUCUUUUGAUAUUCACAUGUUUCAUGUGGUUUCAAACUUCUUAUCCUUUUUGCUAAUGACAAAAAGGGGGAGAAGGUUUAGUGGAACAUUUGUGGUGAAUGUUCUCUUGAAUAUUAAAGUUUUGUCAUCAUCAAAAAGGGGGAGAUUGUUGAGUUUUAUGUUCUAAAUGUUUUGAUGAUGAUUGCAUUUAUGCCAAAACUUUAAUGUCUUAUCAUGUUAUGUUCUCAUAGCUUAUUAAUAUCUCUUGUAUUAUUUUAUAUUAAGGAUAAUGUUAAGCUUAUCCUUGAUAAGAUAUAUGUCGAGCUUGCUUUGGUCAAGAAACCACUAUAGGUUUAUCCUUUAGUAUGUUCUAUUUAUUAAU